UUAGAGUUUGAUCCUGGCUCAGAUUGAACGCUGGCGGCAGGCCUAACACAUGCAAGUCGAGCGGAUGAAGGGAGCUUGCUCCCUGAUUUAGCGGCGGACGGGUGAGUAAUGCCUAGGAAUCUGCCUGGUAGUGGGGGAUAACGUCCGGAAACGGGCGCUAAUACCGCAUACGUCCUACGGGAGAAAGCAGGGGACCUUCGGGCCUUGCGCUAUCAGAUGAGCCUAGGUCGGAUUAGCUAGUUGGUGAGGUAAUGGCUCACCAAGGCGACGAUCCGUAACUGGUCUGAGAGGAUGAUCAGUCACACUGGAACUGAGACACGGUCCAGACUCCUACGGGAGGCAGCAGUGGGGAAUAUUGGACAAUGGGCGAAAGCCUGAUCCAGCCAUGCCGCGUGUGUGAAGAAGGUCUUCGGAUUGUAAAGCACUUUAAGUUGGGAGGAAGGGCAGUAAGUUAAUACCUUGCUGUUUUGACGUUACCGACAGAAUAAGCACCGGCUAACUUCGUGCCAGCAGCCGCGGUAAUACGAAGGGUGCAAGCGUUAAUCGGAAUUACUGGGCGUAAAGCGCGCGUAGGUGGUUCGUUAAGUUGGAUGUGAAAGCCCCGGGCUCAACCUGGGAACUGCAUCCAAAACUGGCGAGCUAGAGUACGGUAGAGGGUGGUGGAAUUUCCUGUGUAGCGGUGAAAUGCGUAGAUAUAGGAAGGAACACCAGUGGCGAAGGCGACCACCUGGACUGAUACUGACACUGAGGUGCGAAAGCGUGGGGAGCAAACAGGAUUAGAUACCCUGGUAGUCCACGCCGUAAACGAUGUCAACUAGCCGUUGGAAUCCUUGAGAUUUUAGUGGCGCAGCUAACGCAUUAAGUUGACCGC
rnacentral:rRNA from 1 species